rnacentral:rRNA from 1 species
CCUUGGCGUCUCAGAGAAUUUGAUCUUGGUCAGGAUGAACGCUGGCGGCGUGCUUAACACAUGCAAGUCGAACGGUGCUUAAUGAAACCUAGUGAUUUAAGCACAGUGGCGGACGGGUGAGUAACGCGUGGGUAACCUGCCGCAUGCAGGGGGACAACAGAGGGGAACUUCUGCUAAUACCGCAUAAGCGCACGGGAUCGCAUGAUCCGGUGUGAAAAGAAUUGUCGGCAUGCGAUGGACCCGCGUCUGAUUAGGCAGUUGGUGAGGUAACGGCCCACCAAACCUACGAUCAGUAGCCGGCCUGAGAGGGUGAACGGCCACAUUGGGACUGAGACACGGCCCAAACUCCUACGGGAGGCAGCAGUGGGGAAUAUUGCACAAUGGGGGAAACCCUGAUGCAAGCGACGCCGCGUGAGUGAAGAAGCAUUUCGGUGCGUAAAGCUCUGUCAGCAGGAAAGAAAAUGACGGUACCUGACCAAGAAGCCCCGGCUAACUACGUGCCAGCCGCCGC